CGCCCCUUCCCAAUCCCCUUGUCCCCCCCGGGGCCUCUGAACUCUUUUCCCUUGAAGCUCAGGGAAGCCUGGGAGAAGCCGUUUCCCACGGUCACAGCCUCAACCACCCCCACCCCCUGCUCCUUUGGCCACAGCCACCUCAGCCUUUGCAGAGCACAGCCUGCCCUGCUCUGUCCCUGCAGGGCCCCCUCCUUGAUCCCGGGAGCCUGCUUCUGCGAGUGGCAUCAUCACCCCACUCCUCAGGCUGCCCAGUCAUCAGGUCAGCAAUUAGCUACUUCCUCCCGGCUGCAUGAGGCCACCGAACGUCACAGCCCCUCCCCCUGCCAGCCGGCAGCGGGAGUGCUGGGGGGUGCCCCCCACACUUUGUAGUCUGUGCCAAGUCCUGGCACGACCUUCUCCCCCCCAACCCCCGCCCCUCGCCACAGUCUACCGAGCGCUGGGGUACUGAGCCUUUCAUCUGGGGAGCCCGGAGCUCCCUGCACUCCUAGGGGCGGGAGAAGCCAUGCUGCGGUCUCCCUCCCGCCCCCACCCCACCCCAAAUCGCCCCAUCCCAUUGGGUGAGAACACGGCUGCUGUCUGGGUGGGGUGAUGCCUGCUCAAGGGCACCGCAGCCCUGAGUUCCUGAGUGAGCGGGUCUGGGCCUGAGACUCAGGUGUGCCUGUCCCCAGUCACAGGCGGUUUUCAUCAGGCUCUCACCUGGGCCGGGGGCUCUGCCGAGGAUGGUGGCGGUGACCUGGCUCUAGUUCCCUGAGCAGGGAUCGAACCCAGGCCCCCUGUACGGGGACUGUGGAGUCCUAGCCACUGGACCACCCAGCAAGUCCCCAUCUCUGUCUACCUUGAGUACAAG
ensembl:lncRNA